GAGCAAGCAGAGGCUCCUGAGAUGCCGUGUAUCUAAGAUGAUUUGAAGAACGGCCUAGUUUUAUCAGCUCUACCAUAAUUGCUUUAGAGAAAACUAAUCCUGAGAACCUUUUGCUUGAAAUUCCUUGAGUUUAGAACAAAAGAAAGAAUGAGGAAAAUAAGAAAAUUGAUUUUAUCUAUUUACCUUGAAUGCAGAGAUUUUGCUAAAACAGAUUAAUCCAGAUGGAAUGAUACUGAAGUCUCUGAAGGCAGAGUCUUGCUUCAUUGCCAGCCUGGAGUGCAGUGGCAUGAUCUCAGCUCACUGCAACUUUCGCUUCCCAGGUUCAAGUGAUUCUCCUGCCUCAGCCUCCUGA
rnacentral:lncRNA from 13 species